UACGAAGGGGGGCUAGCGUUGUUCGGAAUUACUGGGCGUAAAGCGCACGUAGGCGGCUUUGCAAGUCAGAGGUGAAAGCCCGGGGCUCAACCCCGGAAUUGCCUUUGAGACUGCAUCGCUAGAAUUGUGGAGAGGUAAGUGGAAUUCCGAGUGUAGAGGUGAAAUUCGUAGAUAUUCGCAAGAACACCAGUGGCGAAGGCGGCUCACUGGCCCGAUACUGACGCUGAGGCACGAAAGCGUGGGGAGCAAACAGG
rnacentral:rRNA from 1 species